rnacentral:rRNA from 1 species
AUGCCUCUCCUGCUCGCCCCCAUCUCCACGUGCGCGCCCCCGCCGCGGCCCCGCCUGCGCCGCCUCUCGCCGCCGCCGCCCAUGGUCGCCGUCCUGCCCGCGCCCGCGCCCCCGCCCCGCCCCGUCACGCUCCUCCCCAUCCCCACGCCCCCGCCCCUCAACACCGACGCCUUCGACUGGCUCGACCUCUUCGCCUUCCUCAACUCCCCCGCCGACUCCUACCAGAUCCCCCACCCGCCCCCGCCGCUGGCGGACAACGCGGCAGUGGAGGAGGAGCUGGCGAUAAUCCUCGAGCGGGAGAAGGACCGGGAGCGGGCGCGGAGGGCGGACCACCGGCGGCUGCGGCAGCGGCAGGUCAAGGCGGAGACGGAGGCGUGGGCGCGGGCCGCGGAGGAGUACCGCCAGCUCGAGCGCGAGAUGCUCGACCGCCACCUCGCCCCCCAGCUGCCCUACGUCAAGUCGCUCUUCCUCGGCUGGUUCGAGCCGCUGCGCGACGCCGUCGCCAGGGACCAGGACGUGCAGCGCCGCAAGCGGGUCAAGCACGUCUACGCCAAGUACCUGCUCCUGCUCCCCGCCGAGAAGGUCGCCGUCAUCGUCAUGCACAAGAUGAUGGGCCUCCUCAUGUCCAGCAAGGACGGCUGCGGCAGCGUCCGCGUCGUCCAGGCCGCGCACUCCAUCGGCGAGGCCGUCGAGCGCGAGUACAAAGUCCAGGCUUUCUUUCAGAAGACUAGGAGAAAAACUAGGAGCAAAACUGACAGUGAAAAUGAUCCAGCAUUAAACAAGGAACAGGCAAAAUGCCGGAAACUUGUUAAGAGUUUGGUGAGGAGGCGAAAAUUGACUGAAGCACAGAAGCUUGUGCAGCAGGAGAUUGAACUGGAGGAAUGGGGCACAGAAGCCCAAGUGAAGCUAGGAACUCGCCUGAUUGAAUUGUUGUUGGAUUCGGCAUUUGUGCAGUCACCAGCCGACCAAACACCCGACAGUUCUCCUGAUUUUCGACCUGCAUUUAAGCAUGUAUUGCGAAAGCCUAUUGUAGAAAAUGGGAGACUAAAGAAGAAGCACUUCGUGAUAGAGUGUGAUCCUCUUGUGCAUGAGGGGUUCGAAAGCACUGCUAGACACGUGGAGAUACCCUAUCUUCCUAUGCUGGUACCUCCUACGAAAUGGAAGGGCUAUGAUAAAGGCGGACACCUUUUUCUGCCUUCGUAUGUUAUGCGGACACAUGGUGUGAAGGACCAGAAGGAAGCCAUUAAGAGUGUUCCAAGAAAACAGCUGCGAAAAGUAUUCGAGGCAUUAGAUAUCCUUGGGGGUACUAAAUGGAGAGUGAAUAGACGGGUACAUGACGUUGUUGAGACUAUUUGGAGUCGUGGUGGGGGUAUUGCAGGACUUGUUGAUAAGGGAAAUAUUCCUCUACCUGAACAACCUGAAACAGAAGACCCAGAUGAAAUCCAGAAAUGGAAGUGGAGCGUAAAGAAGACAAAGAAAGCUAACCGCGAACUGCAUGCUGAGCGAUGCGAUACAGAACUAAAACUCUCUGUUGCUCGUAAAAUGAGAGAGGAGGAUGGCUUCUAUUAUCCUCAUAAUCUAGAUUUCCGUGGUCGUGCAUACCCUAUGCAUCCACAUCUGAGUCACCUAGGUUCAGAUCUAUGCCGAGGUGUCCUAGAGUAUGCUGAAGGGCGGCCACUCGGAAAAUCUGGUUUACGCUGGUUGAAGAUACAUUUGGCUAACAAAUAUGGCGGAGGCAUUGAAAAGCUUUCUCAUGAGAGCAAACUAGCGUUUGUGGAGGAUCAUUUGCCUGAUAUAUUUGAUUCAGCAUCAAAUCCUGUUGAUGGGAACUGUUGGUGGAUUAAUGCUGAGGAUCCAUUUCAAUGUCUAGCUGCAUGCAUGGAUCUUUCUAAGGCAUUAGAAAGUCCAUCACCUCAUGAUGCUGUCUCUCACCUACCUAUUCAUCAGGAUGGUUCAUGCAAUGGGUUACAACACUAUGCCGCUCUUGGAAGAGACUAUAUGGGUGCGGCAGCUGUCAACUUGGUUCCUGGAGAGAAACCUGCAGAUAUCUACUCAGAAAUAGCUGCUAGGGUAUUGGAUGUUGUACGGGAAGACUCAAUGAAAGAUCCUGCUACUGAUCCAAGUGUUUCAUUAGCAAAGGUUUUAGUUGAUGAGGUGGAUAGGAAGCUGGUCAAGCAGACAGUGAUGACGUCAGUUUAUGGUGUCACAUUUAUCGGUGCUCGCCAGCAAAUUAUGAAGAGGCUUCAAGAGAAAGGACACAUUACAGAUGACAAAUUGCUCUAUGAUGUGUCCUGCUAUGCUACCAGGGUAACUUUGGAUGCACUAGGACAAAUGUUCCAAUCUGCCCGUGCUAUAAUGGCAUGGCUUGGUGACUGUGCAAAGAUGAUUGCUUCAAAAAAUCAACCAGUCAGAUGGACGAGUCCUGUUGGUCUUCCAGUUGUGCAACCAUACAAGAAAUAUAAAAACUAUAUGAUACGAACUUCUUUGCAAUGUCUGGCUUUACGACGGGAGGGUGAUGCAAUUGCAACCCAACGGCAAAAGGCAGCUUUUCCACCGAAUUUUGUGCAUUCUCUUGAUAGUUCACAUAUGAUGAUGACGGCAAUUACUUGCAAGGAGGCUGGUCUUCAUUUUGCAGGAGUGCAUGACUCAUUUUGGGUGCAUGCAUGUGAUGUCGAUAAAAUGAAUCAGAUCUUGAGAGAGCAAUUCGUGGAGCUGUACAGCAUGCCAAUCCUUGAAAACCUACUGGAAGAGUUUCAAACAUUAUUUCCGACAGUAGAGUUUCCUCCCUGCCCAGCACAGGGGAAUUUUGAUGUGAGAGAAGUUCUCAAGUCUACCUAUUUCUUCAACUAA